rnacentral:rRNA from 1 species
UACGUAGGGGGCAAGCGUUGUCCGGAUUUAUUGGGCGUAAAAGGCUUGUAGGUGGCCACGCCAAGUCGGAUGUGAAAUCUCCCGGCUCAACUGGGAGGGGUCAUUCGAUACUGGCGGGCUCGAGGCCGGUAGGGGGAAGUGGAAUUCCCGGUGUAGUGGUGGAAUGCGUAGAUAUCGGGAGGAACACCAGUGGCGAAGGCGGCUUCCUGGACCGGUUCUGACGCUGAGGAGCGAAAGCGUGGGGAGCGAUCCGG